rnacentral:lncRNA from 1 species
GUGUUUUGAAAAAUUGUUUACCGCGCGUCCCAGCCAAUUGGAGCGUGCCACCACAUUAAUGAGAAACGGCGUCGUUUGGCUUUCGUUGCUGAAUAUUACCAGAUUGCCAUUAUUUCACAUUAUUUGUAUUAUUUCAUUUCUUUUUCUUUUUUUUAUUUCAUUUUGAUUCAUGUUCUUAGAAAAAUCAUAUCUAAUUCAUUUUUUGUCCAAAUUUGAUGAGACGUUUU